rnacentral:rRNA from 1 species
GGAUAACUUACCCUUAGGACUGGGAUAACUCUGGGAAACUGGGGAUAAUACUGGAUAUUAGGCUAUGCCUGGAAUGGUUUGCCUUUGAAAUGUUUUUUUCGCCUAAGGAUAGGUCUGCGGCUGAUUAGGUCGUUGGUGGGGUAAUGGCCCACCAAGCCGAUGAUCGGUACGGGUUGUGAGAGCAAGGGCCCGGAGAUGGAACCUGAGACAAGGUUCCAGACCCUACGGGGUGCAGCAGGCGCGAAACCUCCGCAAUGUACGAAAGUGCGACGGGGGGAUCCCAAGUGUUAUGCUUUUUUGUAUGACUUUUCAUUAGUGUAAAAAGCUUUUAGAAUAAGAGCUGGGCAAGACCGGUGCCAGCCGCCGCGGUAACACCGGCAGCUCGAGUGGUAGCUGUUUUUAUUGGGCCUAAAGCGUUCGUAGCCGGUUUGAUAAGUCUUUGGUGAAAGCUUGUAGCUUAACUAUAAGAAUUGCUGGAGAUACUAUUAGACUUGAAGUCGGGAGAGGUUAGAGGUACUACCGGGGUAGGGGUGAAAUCCUAUAAUCCUGGGAGGACCACCUGUGGCGAAGGCGUCUAACUGGAACGAUCUUGACGGUGAGUAACGAAAGCCAGGGGCGCGAACCGGAUUAGAUACCCGGGUAGUCCUGGCCGUAAACGAUGUGGACUUGGUGUUGGAAUGGCUUUGAGUUGUUCCGGUGCCGAAGGGAAGCUGUUAAGUCCACCGCCUGGGAAGUACGGUCGCAAGACUGAAACUUAA